GGGUCAGUAGGCUGGUCGUGCCACCGGUACGUACUGGUCUCACUGAUUCCUCCUUCCUGAAGAACCGUAAUGCCAUUAAUUUGGUGUUGCUGGGAAGCAGGACUGUUACUUUGAAAAAACUAGAGUGUUUAAAGCAAGCUAACGCUUGAAUACAUUAGCAUGGAAUAAUGAAAUAGGACGAUCGAUCCUAUUUUGUUGGUUUCUAGGAUUGACGUA
rnacentral:rRNA from 1 species